CGUACACUCCUGCGGGAGGCAGCAGUGGGGAAUUUUGGACAAUGGGCGAAAGCCUGAUCCAGCCAUGCCGCGUGCAGGAUGAAGGCCUUCGGGUUGUAAACUGCUUUUGUACGGAACGAAACGGCCUUUUCUAAUAAAGAGGGCUAAUGACGGUACCGUAAGAAUAAGCACCGGCUAACUACGUGCCAGCAGCCGCGGUAAUACGUAGGGUGCAAGCGUUAAUCGGAAUUACUGGGCGUAAAGCGUGCGCAGGCGGUUAUGUAAGACAGUUGUGAAAUCCCCGGGCUCAACCUGGGAACUGCAUCUGUGACUGCAUAGCUAGAGUACGGUAGAGGGGGAUGGAAUUCCGCGUGUAGCAGUGAAAUGCGUAGAUAUGCGGAGGAACACCGAUGGCGAAGGCAAUCCCCUGGACCUGUACUGACGCUCAUGCACGAAAGCGUGGGGAGCAAACAGGAUUAGAUACCCCAGUAGUCCCA
rnacentral:rRNA from 1 species